ACUCCUACGGGAGGCAGCAGUGGGGAAUAUUGCACAAUGGGCGCAAGCCUGAUGCAGCCAUGCCGCGUGUGUGAAGAAGGCCUUCGGGUUGUAAAGCACUUUCAGUUGUGAGGAAAGGUUAGUCGCUAAUAUCGGCUAGCUGUGACGUUAGCAACAGAAGAAGCACCGGCUAACUCUGUGCCAGCAGCCGCGGUAAUACAGAGGGUGCGAGCGUUAAUCGGAUUUACUGGGCGUAAAGCGUGCGUAGGCGGCCAUUUAAGUCAAAUGUGAAAUCCCCGAGCUUAACUUGGAAUUGGCAUUCGAUACUGGAUGGCUAGAGUAUGGGAGAGGAUGGUAGAAUUCCAGGUGUAGCGGUGAAAUGCGUAGAGAUCUGGAGGAAUACCGAUGGCGAAGGCAGCCAUCUGGCCUAAUACUGACGCUGAGGUACGAAAGCAUGGGGAGCAAACAGGAUUAGAUACCCUGGUAGGCUCUG
rnacentral:rRNA from 1 species